rnacentral:rRNA from 1 species
GACUCUCGGCAACGGAUAUCUCGGCUCUCGCAUCGAUGAAGAACGUAGCGAAAUGCGAUACUUGGUGUGAAUUGCAGAAUCCCGUGAACCAUCGAGUCUUUGAACGCAAGUUGCGCCCGAAGCCUUUAGGCUAAGGGCACGCCUGCCUGGGCGUCACGCAGCGUCGCCACCGCCCAAU